rnacentral:rRNA from 1 species
GACGAACGCUGGCGGCGUGCUUAACACAUGCAAGUCGAACGGAAAGGCCCUGCUUUUGUGGGGUGCUCGAGUGGCGAACGGGUGAGUAACACGUGAGUAACCUGCCCUUGACUUUGGGAUAACUUCAGGAAACUGGGGCUAAUACCGGAUAGGAGCUCCUGCUGCAUGGUGGGGGUUGGAAAGUUUCGGCGGUUGGGGAUGGACUCGCGGCUUAUCAGCUUGUUGGUGGGGUAGUGGCUUACCAAGGCUUUGACAGGUAGCCGGCCUGAGAGGGUGACCGGCCACAUUGGGACUGAGAUACGGCCCAGACUCCUACGGGAGGCAGCAGUGGGGAAUAGUGCACAAUGGGCGGAAGCCUGAUGCAGCAACGCCGCGUGCGGGAUGACGGCCUUCGGGUUGUAAACCGCUUUCGCCUGUGACGAAGCGUGAGUGACGGUAAUGGGUAAAGAAGCACCGGCUAACUACGUG